UGAGAGACCCACGGCGCGACAGACAGAGAAGGGGACGAGAUGCAAUCAGGGAAACCCCGAGACUCAAGUCAACUUGUCCCAGUCUGUGUAUUUUCCAGGUCAUCUGGUGGGUUUCAUAUCAAGAAGUUCCAGUAUAUACCCUCCCACCUGGGACAUCCUGAUUUAUGCCUGUUGUCCUGGUGGAAACAUCCGUGGAGCUCCGUUCUGCUCUCAGAAGUGUCUUGGUUUGGAAAAUCCCACUCAGGGAUGAGGCUAUGAACUCACGUAUGAUGAGGUCUCAUCUUACUGCAGGACUCCCUCCACCUCAUCCCAACCUUAGGUGGGCUCGGAAGAUCAGAUUUAUAUAACCCCAAACAAACACAUUCCAGCAUCAACUGCUCAAGUGCUCUACACUGCAGGCUUCAGAAUUCCACACAGGUGGAGGUCAAGGGUGGUGUUCUAGGAUGGGGUGGGGGAUAGCAAAAUGGCCUGUCUUGAAGCUGCAUUUGUAAAGCCAAUACAUUGUGUUGUUUUCAUAAUUUUCUUCCUUCCUUCCAUUAUGGCUGCACUGAGUCUUUGUUGCUCUAUGGACUUUUCUCUAGUUGUGGUGAACGGGAGCUAUCCUCUAGCUGCAGGGUGCGGGCUUCUCUGUUGCGACGCACCGGCUAUAGGGCGCGUGGGCUCCAGCAGUCAUGGCUCCCAGGCUCUAGAGCACGGGCUCAGCAGCUGUAGUGCACGGGCCCAGUUGCUCCAUGGCAGCUGGGAUUCUCCUGGACCCGGAAUCCUGUGUUGGCAGGUGGAUUCUCUGUCACUGAGCCAUGAGGGAAUCCCCAGUACACCGCUGUAAAAUCAUUAAGGAUUUCCCAUUUCUGUCGAUCUGGAACUCAGGUACAGUGAGGUGCACUUCUAAGUAGACAGCCUGAUGAAGUUUUCCAUCUGUUUAUAGCCAUGCAGCCACCAUCCAGUUCAACAUAUUUUUAGAACCUUCUCCAGACGGUUCUCUCAUGCCCUCUCUCAGUUCAAACCUCCCAAAGAUAACCAACCAACUUUUUGACCUCUACAACUACAGAUUAGUUCUUCCUAUUUAAAAAAUUUUUUUAUCUAUUUAGCUGUGAUGGGUCCUAGUCACAGCACAUGGAACCUUCAGUUGUGGCAUGUGGGAUCCAGCUGCCUGACCAGGAAUUGAAGUCACUCACCGUGAACUGGGAUCUUGGAGUCCCAGCCACUGGACCACCAGGAAAAUCCCAGUUCUUCCUACUUCCGGACUUCAUAUAAAUAAACCACACAGACAUCUCA